UCAGGUGGGACCCUCCAGUUUCAGGAAAACAAGCUUAACACGCCCACUGAUUCUACAUUAUGCUCCUACCUCCCGGCAGCCUCGCCAGGCCCAGAACUCUCUCCAGUCAGCCUCUACAGACCAAGCUCAUGACUCACAAUGGCCUAUUUAGGCCCAUACCCUACCUCACGGCAGUCUCCGCAGAUGAGCCUACUGCCUCACAACAGCCUCCACAGGCACAGCUCCAUCGUUACAAUGGCCUCUUUAGACCCAGCUCCUGCCUCCCAGCCUUCUCUCCAGGCCCUGAACUUUCUCCGGUCUCCCUCUGUUAUCUGAGGCUGGAGGGUAGUAGUGCUAUCGCAGCUGACUGCAGCCUCAACCUUCCAGGCUGAAGCGAUCCUCCCAUCUCAACCUCCCACGUGGCUGAGACUACAGGUGCUUGCCACUACGCCCAACUAAUAUUUGGUAUUUUCGUACACGUGGAUUCCAGAGGGGUGACAGCGAAACGUGGGACCAUCCAGUUUCAGGAAAACAAGCUUAACACGCCCACUGAUUCUACAUUAUGAUUCUUCAGGCCCAGCAUCUGCCUCACUGUGGACCCCCCAAGCCAAGCUCCCAACCUUUCAGCAGCUUCUACACACCCAGCUCCCGCCUGCCAGUGGCCUCUUCAGGCCCAUGGGGCUCAUUCCUCACAACAGCCUUUCCAGUCCCAGUUUUUCCCUUCCGGCAGCCUCUCCGGGCUGAGAGCCUCCUCAAGUCGGCCUCUCCAGACUCACUUGCACCCUCCAGGCGUCCUCUCCGGGCCAAGCUCCUCUUCCUGGCUGCGUCUCCAGGCCUGACUCCUGCCUCUCAACAACCUCUUUGGACUCAGUGCCUACCCAUCUCCUGGCAUCCUUGGUCGGCCCACAGCUUCCUCAAGCCAAGCUCCCCAGGCCCAGGUCAGGCCUCACGGUGCCCCCUCCACGAUGAGCUCCUGCCCUCCAAUGGCACCUGCAGGACCCAAAUGGUCUCCGGUCGGUGGGCUCCUCCACGCCAAGCUUGGGCCUCCCGGUGACCUCUGCAGGCCCAAAUUGUCCUGAAGUCGGCAUCUCCCAGCCAUGCCUCCCAGCAAGUAAGCAAGCUCUUUUGGCUCAACUCCUGCCCAGCUCCCAACCGCCUUUGUAGGUCCCGAACUUUCUCCAGCCAAGUUCUUUGGGCCUCAUUCCUGCCGCCCGGUGGCCUGUACGGGCCCAGCAAUGGUUGGAGAACGGCCUCUGCAGGUCCCGCUCUUGCCUCCCAGGGGCCUCUCCAGGCCCAGCUCUUGCCCCCACGGCGGCCA